AACGAACGCUGGCGGCAGGCUUAACACAUGCAAGUCGAGCGCCCCGCAAGGGGAGCGGCAGACGGGUGAGUAACGCGUGGGAAUCUACCCAUCUCUACGGAAUAACGCAUGGAAACGUGUGCUAAUACCGUAUACGUCCUUCGGGAGAAAGAUUUAUCGGAGAUGGAUGAAGCCCGCGUUGGAUUAGCUAGUUGGUGGGGUAAAGGCCUACCAAGGCGACGAUCCAUAGCUGGUCUGAGAGGAUGAUCAGCCACACUGGGACUGAGACACGGCCAGACUCCUACGGAAGGCAGCAGUGGGGAAUAUUAGACAAUGGGCGCAAGCCUGAUCCAGCCAUGCCGCGUGAGUGAUGAAGGCCCGAGGGUUGUAAAGCUCUUUCACCGGUGAAGAUAAUGACGGUAACCGGAGAAGAAGCCCCGGCUAACUUCGUGCCAGCCGCCGCGGUAACAC
rnacentral:rRNA from 1 species